rnacentral:rRNA from 1 species
UACGGGAGGCAGCAGUGGGGAAUAUUGCACAAUGGGCGCAAGCCUGAUGCAGCCAUGCCGCGUGUAUGAAGAAGGCCUUCGGGUUGUAAAGUACUUUCAGUCGUGAGGAAGGUGUUAAGGUUAAUAACCUUAGCAAUUGACGUUAGCGACAGAAGAAGCACCGGCUAACUCCGUGCCAGCAGCCGCGGUAAUACGGAGGGUGCGAGCGUUAAUCGGAAUUACUGGGCGUAAAGGGCACGCAGGCGGUUAAUUAAGUUGGAUGUGAAAUCCCCCGGGCUUAACCCUGGGAAUGGCAUUCAAGACUGGUUAGCUAGAGUCUUGUAGAGGGGGUAGAAUUCCAUGUGUAGCGGUGAAAUGCGUAGAGAUGUGGAGGAAUACCGGUGGCGAAGGCGGCCCCUGGACAAAGACUGACGCUCAUGUGCGAAAGCGUGGGGAGCAAACAGGGAUUAGAUACC